GCAUAUCAAUAAGCGGAGGAAAAGAAACCAACAGGGAUUGCCUCAGUAACGGCGAGCGAAGCGGCAAAAGCUCAAAUUUGAAAGCUAGCGUCUUUUAGGGCGUUCGCAUUGUAAUUUGAAGAUGGCAACUUUGGUAACGGCCUUUGCAUAUGUUCCUUGGAACAGGACGUCAUAGAGGGUGAGAAUCCCGUACGUGGCGAGGGUACCGUUGCUUUGUAAAGUGCUUUCUAAGAGUCGAGUUGUUUGGGAAUGCAGCUCUAAGUGGGUGGUAAAUUCCAUCUAAGGCUAAAUAUAGGCGAGAGACCGAUAGCGAACAAGUACAGUGAUGGAAAGAUGAAAAGAACUUUGAAAAGAGAGUGAAAAAGUACGUGAAAUUGUUGAAAGGGAAGGGCUUGAGAUCAGACUUGGCUUGUAGUGAUCAACUGUCUUUCGGGACUGUGCACUCGCUACUUGCUAGGCCAACAUCAGUUUUGGCGGUGGGAUAAUGGUAGUGGAAUGUGACUUUGCUUCGGUAAAGUGUUAUAGCCGCAUACUGAUACCGCCAGCCGAGACUGAGGACCGCGUCUUUGUACUAGGAUGUUGGCAUAAUGAUCUUAAGCU
rnacentral:rRNA from 1 species